CCAGAGACUAGACCAGAGACCAGGGACCAGGGACCAGGGACCAGGGACCAGGGACCACAGACCAGAGACCAGAGACCAGGGACCAGGGACCAGGGACCAGACCAGAGACCAGGGACCAGGGACCAGGGACCAGACCAGAGACCAGAGACCAGGGACCAGGGACCACAGACCAGAGACCAGAGACCAGGGACCAGGGACCAGAGACCACAGACCAGAGACCAGGGACCAGGGACCAGGGACCAGGGACCACAGACCACAGACCAGAGACUAGACCAGAGACCAGGGACCAGCGACCAGAGACCACAGACCAGAGACCAGGGACCAGGGACCAGGGACCACAGACCAGAGACCAGAGACCAGGGACCAGGGACCAGAGACCACAGACCAGAGACCAGGGACCAGGGACCAGGGACCACAGACCAGAGACCAGAGACCAGGGACCAGCGACCAGAGACCACAGACCAGAGACCAGGGACCAGGGACCAGGGACCACAGACCAGAGACCAGGGACCAGGGACCAGGGACCAGGGACCAGACCAGAGACCACAGACUACAGACCAGAGACCAGAGACUAGACCAGAGACCAGGGACCAGGGACCAGAGACCACAGACCAGAGACCAGGGACCAGGGACCAGACCAGAGACCACAGACUACAGACCAGAGACCAGAGACUAGACCAGGGACCAGGGACCAGAGACCACAGACCAGAGACCAGGGACCAGGGACCAGACCAGAGACCAGACCAGAGACCAGGGACCAGGGACCAGAGACCACAGACCACAGAUCACAGACCACAGACCAGAGACCAGGGACCACAGACCAGAGACCAGGGACCAGGGACCAGACCAGAGACCAGACCAGAGACCAGACCAGAGACCAGACCAGAGACCAGACCAGAUACCAGACCAGAGACCAGGGACCAGGGACCAGACCAGAGACCAGAGACCACAGACUACAGACCAGAGACCAGGGACCAGAGACCAGACCAGAGACCAGAGACCAGACCAGAGAUCAGACCAGAUACCAGACCAGAGACCAGGGACCAGGGACCAGAGACCAGAGACCAGAGACCAGGGACCAGACCAGAGACCAGACCAGAGACCAGACCAGAGACCAGACCAGAGACCAGACCAGAGACCAGACCAGAUACCAGACCAGAGACCAGAGACCAGGGACCAGGGACCAGACCAGAGACCAGACCAGAGACCAGAGACCAGAGACCACAGACUACAGACCAGAGACCAGAGACCAGGGACCAGGGACCAGAGCAGACCAGAGACCAGAGACCAGAGACCAGGGACCAGGGACCAGACCAGAGACCAGAUCAGAGACCAGAUCAGAGACCAGACCAGAGACCAGACCAGAGACCAGACCAGAGACCACAGACCAGGGACCAGGGACCAGAGCAGACCAGAGACCAGAGACCACAGACCACAGACCAGAGACCAGGGACCAGGGACCAGAGCAGACCAGAGACCAGAGACCAGAGACCAGGGACCAGGGACCAGAGCAGACCAGAGACCAGAGACCAGAGACCAGAGACCAGACUAGAGACCAGACCAGAGGCCAGAGAUCAGAGAUCAGAGAUCAGACUAGAGACCAGACCAGAGACCACAGACCACAGACCACAGACCACAGACCACAGACCAGGGACCAGGGACCAGACCAGAGACCAGAGACCAGACCAGAGACCAGAGACCAGAGACCAGAGACCAGAGACCACAGACCAGAGACCAGAGACCAGACUAGAGACCAGACCAGAGACCACAUACCAGAGACCAGAGACCAGAGACCAGAGACCAGACCAGAGACCUGACCAGAGACCAGAGACCAGAGACCAGAGACCACAGACCACAGACCACAGACCACAGACCACAGACCAGAGACCAGAGACCAGAGACCAGAGACCAGAGACCAGGGACCAGGGACCAGACCAGACACCAGAGACUAGAGACCAAAGACAGUCUUAA
ensembl:lncRNA